rnacentral:rRNA from 1 species
UAGGGAAUCUUCCACAAUGGGCGAAAGCCUGAUGGAGCAACGCCGCGUGAGUGAUGAAGGUUUUCGGAUCGUAAAACUCUGUUGUUAGGGAAGAACACCCGAGAGAGGAUCUCGGACUGACGGUACCUAACGAGAAAGCCCCGGCUAACUACGUGCCAGCAGCCGCGGUAAUACGUAGGGGGCAAGCGUUGUCCGGAUUUACUGGGUGUAAAGGGUGCUCAGGCGGAUUUGUAAGUCAGAGGUGAAAUCUUACAGCUUAACUGUGAAACUGCCUUUGNUACUGCAAGCCUAGAGUAUGGAAGAGAGUGAUGGAAUAUCUGGUGUAGCAGUGAAAUGCGUAGAUAUCAGAUAGAACACCAAUGGCGAAGGCAGUCACUUGGUCCAUUACUGACGCUAAAGCACGAAAGCGUGGGUAGCAGACA